rnacentral:rRNA from 1 species
GUAAGUUGUUAAGGGCACACGGUGGAUGCCUUGGCAUCAGGAGCCGAUGAAGGACGUGUGAAUCUGCGAUAAGCCUCGGGGAGCCGAUAACUGGGCGUGGAUCCGAGGAUUUCCGAAUGGGGAAACCUCGCUCAUCGUUUUGGUGGGUGACCGCUGGUUGAAUGUAUAGGCCAGUUGGGGGGAACGCGGGGAAGUGAAACAUCUCAGUACCCGCAGGAAGAGAAAAUAAUAAUGAUUCUGUUAGUAGUGGCGAGCGAACGCGGAUGAGGCUAAACCUGUGGUGUGUGAUAGCGGUUAGGUGUUGCAUCAUGGGUGUUGUGGGAGUUGUUGUGGUGGUUCUAACUGGUCACCGGCGUAGUGCAUGAUGGUAGGCGAACUGGCUUGGAAUGGUCGACCGUAGUGGGUGAGAGUCCCGUAGUUGAAAGUGUUGUGUGUGCGUUGACAAUGUCCCGAGUAGCACGGGGCUCGUGGAAUCUCGUGUGAAUCUGCCAGGACCACCUGGUAAGUCUAAAUACUUCCUGAUGACCGAUAGUGGAUCAGUACCGUGAGGGAAUGGUGAAAAGUACCCCGGGAGGGGAGUGAAAUAGUACCUGAAACCGUGUGCUUACAAGCCGUUAUAGCCCCCCUUUUGUGUGGGGUGGUGGCGUGCCUUUUGAAGAAUGAGCCUGCGAGUUAGUGUUUUGUCGCGAGGUUAACCCGUGUGGGGUAGUCGUAGCGAAAGCGAGUCUGAAUAGGGCGUUGUAGUGGCAGGAUCUAGACCCGAAGCGGAGUGAUCUAUCCAUGGCCAGGUUGAAGCACGUGUAAGAGCGUGUGGAGGACCGAACCCACCUAGGUUGAAAACUGGGGGGAUGAGCUGUGGAUAGGGGUGAAAGGCCAAUCAAACUCUGUGAUAGCUGGUUCUCCCCGAAAUGCAUUUAGGUGCAGCGUUACAUGUUUCUUGCUGGAGGUAGAGCUACUGGAUGGCCGAUGGGCCCGCGAGGGUUACUGACGUUAGCUAAACUCCGAAUGCCGGUAAGUGAGAGUGUAGCAGUGAGACAGUGGGGGAUAAGCUUCAUUGUCGAGAGGGAAACAGCCCAGACCAUCAACUAAGGCCCCUAAGCGUGUGCUAAGUGGGAAAGGAUGUGGAGUUGCUGAGACAACCAGGAGGUUGGCUUAGAAGCAGCCAUCCUUGAAAGAGUGCGUAAUAGCUCACUGGUCAAGUGAUUCUGCGCCGAUAAUGUAGCGGGGCUCAAGUACACCGCCGAAGUUGUGGCAAUCAGUCUUUGUGGCUGGUUGGGUAGGGGAGCGUCCUGCACGAGGUGAAGCUGCCACGGGAGUGUGUGGUGGAUUGUGUGGGAGUGAGAAUGCAGGCAUGAGUAGCGAAUCACGGGUGAGAAACCCGUGCGCCGGAUGAUCAAGGGUUCCAGGGUCAAGUUAAUCUGCCCUGGGUUAGUCGGGGCCUAAGGCGAGGCCGACAGGCGUAGUCGAUGGAGAACGGGUUGAUAUUCCCGUACCAGUGAAGGACCGUCCAUACUGAUAUUGUGAUGCUAACCAUGCCGAUCACGGUGUCAUGAAGUUUUUCUUUGUGGUGUUGUGGGGUGUGUGGGACCCAAGCUUUGGAGGUAAGCGUGUUAACAGGUGUGACGCAGGAAGGUAGCCAAGCCACGCGGUGGUUGUCGUGGUCUAAGCGUGUAGGAUGACUGGUUGUUAAAUGCGCCGGUUGUGUGUCUGAGACGUGAUGGGACCCCUUGUUUGUGGGGGAUUUGGUGAUCCUAUGCUGCCGAGAAAAGCAUCGGCGUGAGGUUUUAGCUGCCCGUACCCGAAACCGACACAGGUGAUCAGGUAGAGAAUACUAAGGCGAUCGAGAGAAUCAUGGUUAAGGAACUCGGCAAAAUGCCCCCGUAACUUCGGGAGAAGGGGGGCCCUGAGCGUGAUCUGCCCGUGCGGUGGGGAGCGUGUAGGGGUCGCAGAGACCAGGGGGAAGCGACUGUUUAUCAAAAACACAGGUCCGUGCGAAGUCGUAAGACGAGGUAUACGGACUGACUCCUGCCCGGUGCUGGAAGGUUAAGAGGAUUGGUUAGCCCUGUGUGGGCGAAGCUGAGAAUUUAAGCCCCAGUAAACGGCGGUGGUAACUAUAACCAUCCUAAGGUAGCGAAAUUCCUUGUCGGGUAAGUUCCGACCUGCACGAAUGG